GUAUAAAAGGAGAAAGAAAAGGCGAUAGAAAUCAGUCGAGUGAGUAUCUCCGACACGGCAACAUCUGCAGCGAAGUAUUUGUCAACAACUGCUAUCAUCGUAUAACCAAUUCGGAAUCAUGGUAAACUAUGGCAUUGUGCUGCUGUUGGGUUUCUUAUCGAUGGCUGGGUCGGCCAUUGGUGUAUCGAUGUCUCCUGGGUGAUGUCACCAACUGCAUUCCUCAUCGUGUAAGCAAUUCGAAAUCAUGGUUACAAUGCAAGGCUCGAGUUGAAAGGUGAAUCAGAAGAAGGAAAAAUCAUUUUAAACGUGAGAGGAAGGGCGAUAGGAAUGAUUCGAAUGAGCAUCUCCGAUACGGUAACAUUUGCAGCGCACUAUCUGUCGCCAACUGGAUUUUUUAUCAUACAACCAGUUCGCAAUGAUGCUUAAAUAAUCUGUUUUUUUAUAUUGA